GAUGAACGCUGGCGGCGUGCCUAAUACAUGCAAGUCGAGCGAACAGACGAGGAGCUUGCUCCUCUGACGUUAGCGGCGGACGGGUGAGUAACACGUGGAUAACCUACCUAUAAGACUGGGAUAACUUCGGGAAACCGGAGCUAAUACCGGAUAAUAUAUUGAACCGCAUGGUUCAAUAGUGAAAGACGGUUUUGCUGUCACUUAUAGAUAGAUCCGCGCCGCAUUAGCUAGUUGGUAAGGUAACGGCUUACCAAGGCAACGAUGCGUAGCCGACCUGAGAGGGUGAUCGGCCACACUGGAACUGAGACACGGUCCAGACUCCCACGGGAGGCAGCAGUAGGGAAUCUUCCGCAAUGGGCGAAAGCCUGACGGAGCAACGCCGCGUGAGUGAUGAAGGUCUUCGGAUCGUAAAACUCUGUUAUUAGGGAAGAACAAAUGUGUAAGUAACUAUGCACGUCUUGACGGUACCUAAUCAGAAAGCCACGGCUAACUACGUG
rnacentral:rRNA from 1 species